GAUGAAGAACGCAGCGAAAUGCGAUAAGUAAUGUGAAUUGCAUAAUUCAGUGAAUCAUCGAAUCUUUGAACGCACAUUGCGCCCCCUGGUAUUCCGGGGGGCAUGCCUGUUCGAGCGUCAUUUCACCACUCAAGCCUCGCUUGGUAUUGGGCGACGCGGUCCGCCGCGCGCCUCAAAUCGACCGGCUGGGUCUUCCGUCCCCUCAGCGUUGUGGAAACUAUUCGCUAAAGGGUGCCGCGGGAGGUCACGCCGCAAAACAACCCCAUUUCUAAGGUUGACCUCGGAUCAGGUAGGGAUACCCGCUGAACUUAAGCAUAUCAAUAAGCGGAGGA
rnacentral:misc_RNA from 1 species